GGGGUGUAUAGCUCAGUGGUAGAGCAUUUGACUGCAGAUCAAGAGAUCUCCGGUUCAAAACCGGGUGCCACCU
rnacentral:tRNA from 1 species